CGUGGGUAACCUGCCCUGUACAGGGGGAUAACAGUCAGAAAUGACUGCUAAUACCGCAUAAGACCACAGCACCGCAUGGUGCAGGGGUAAAAACUCCGGUGGUACAGGAUGGACCCGCGUCUGAUUAGCUGGUUGGUGAGGUAACGGCUCACCAAGGCGACGAUCAGUAGCCGGCUUGAGAGAGUGAACGGCCACAUUGGGACUGAGACACGGCCCAAACUCCUACGGGAGGCAGCAUG
rnacentral:rRNA from 1 species